UACGUAGGGUGCAAGCGUUGUCCGGAAUUAUUGGGCGUAAAGAGCUCGUAGGCGGUCUGUCGCGUCUGCUGUGAAAACUCAGGGCUUAACCCUGAGCCUGCUUCCGAUACGGGCAGACUAGAGGUAUGCAGGGGAGAACGGAAUUCCUGGUGUAGCGGUGAAAUGCGCAGAUAUCAGGAGGAACACCGGUGGCGAAGGCGGUUCUCUGGGCAUUACCUGACGCUGAGGAGCGAAGGCCAGGGGAGCAAACGGG
rnacentral:rRNA from 1 species